rnacentral:misc_RNA from 1 species
GAUGAAGAACGUAGCAAAAUGCGAUAAGUAAUGUGAAUUGCAGAAUUCAGUGAAUCAUCGAAUCUUUGAACGCACAUUGCGCCCGCCAGUAUUCUGGCGGGCAUGCCUGUUCGAGCGUCAUUUCAACCCUCAAGCACAGCUUGGUGUUGGGACUCGCGUAAAUUCGCGUUCCUCAAAUUGAUUGGCGGUCACGUCGAGCUUCCAUAGCGUAGUAGUAAAACCCUCGUUACUGGUAAUCGUCGCGGCCACGCCGUUAAACCCCAACUUCUGAAUGUUGACCUCGGAUCAGGUAGGAAUACCCGCUGAACUUAAGCAUAUCAAUAAGCGGAGGA